rnacentral:rRNA from 1 species
CUGGCGGCAGGCUUAACACAUGCAAGUCCAGCGGGGAAGGGUAGCUUGCUAUCUGACCUAGCGGCGGACGGGUGAGUAAUGCUUAGGAAUCUGCCUAUUAGUGGGGGACAACAUUCCGAAAGGAAUGCUAAUACCGCAUACGCCCUACGGGGGAAAGCAGGGGAUCUUCGGACCUUGCGCUAAUAGAUGAGCCUAAGUCAGAUUAGCUAGUUGGUGGGGUAAAGGCCUACCAAGGCGACGAUCUGUAGCGGGUCUGAGAGGAUGAUCCGCCACACUGGGACUGAGACACGGCCCAGACUCCUACGGGAGGCAGCAGUGGGGAAUAUUGGACAAUGGGCGAAAGCCUGAUCCAGCCAUGCCGCGUGUGUGAAGAAGGCCUUUUGGUUGUAAAGCACUUUAAGCGAGGAGGAGGCUACCGAGAUUAAUACUCUUGGAUAGUGGACGUUACUCGCAGAAUAAGCACCGGCUAACUCUGUGCCAGCAGCCGCGGUAAUACAGAGGGUGCGAGCGUUAAUCGGAUUUACUGGGCGUAAAGCGUGCGUAGGCGGCUUUUUAAGUCGGAUGUGAAAUCCCUGAGCUUAACUUAGGAAUUGCAUUCGAUACUGGGAAGCUAGAGUAUGGGAGAGGAUGGUAGAAUUCCAGGUGUAGCGGUGAAAUGCGUAGAGAUCUGGAGGAAUACCGAUGGCGAAGGCAGCCAUCUGGCCUAAUACUGACGCUGAGGUACGAAAGCAUGGGGAGCAAACAGGAUUAGAUACCCUGGUAGUCCAUGCCGUAAACGAUGUCUACUAGCCGUUGGGGCCUUUGAGGCUUUAGUGGCGCAGCUAACGCGAUAAGUAGACCGCCUGGGGAGUACGGUCG